CUCCAGUCAUCCUCUAUGUCUCCUGGAGUCAUUGCUGGCAUUGUUAUCGGGAUCCUGGCUGCCAUUGCUUUGGUGAUAGGGCUGGGCUACUUCCUCUACAGCACCAAGGACAGAUGGAUCCACAGGAGAUCAGCUAAUGACACAACGACCUCUAAUACCGAGCCACCCACCUCUGUGACUCAGAGCACCCCAGAGUCCACCAGACCCAAAGAAGCCACCUUCCGCAGCUCCUGAGGGCCCCAGGAAGCCAUUGCCCCGUAUCCCGAAGCAGCCAUUGGUCCCCCCAGU
rnacentral:lncRNA from 1 species